rnacentral:lncRNA from 1 species
UGGUCUUAGACGGUUGCUUAAGGGGGCUGAAGGGGGCAAGGAACAGCAUAAUUUCUGGAUUCUCGUGAGGCAAGGAGAAAAGCCACUAGACUCCCUGGAACCAGCGUAUGGUGGAUAUGGACGAUGGGUGACCCAGAGGCUGAUGGACUGGACCCUCACAAUGGUCAUGGACCCCAGUACUGAGCAGCAUGAAACCAGCUCGUGAAAAAGCUGAAAUAAUAUGGGAUCCAGCAGAACUAGGCCUGGCCACCUCUGGCCCAGAUCUAACAUUUCCAGCUAUCUUUGCCUAGCUGCAUGCUUGAGGACUGCUAGAUGUUUUGGAAUGAAGGAUGUGACUCACGGUAAACUUUGCUCUGGUACAGUUCCACACCCUAACUCUGUUAACAUCUAGGGACAGCCUCCUGCAGGAAUCUCUCUGUGAUCUGCCCUCCAACACCAAUGAGAGUAGAUGAGAGGAUGCCACCGGUGGAUGGAAGCCAGGAUACUUCCUGAAAGGCCUCAUAUCAGAUAGAUAAGAAUCAGUCAUGACAGGGAGGCAUGGCAUCAGGCAAGCACAAUGGCCAGAGCAGGAAGCUGAGAAACCACACCCUUAAUCACCAGCAGCACCGGAUCAGAGACACCCAACAAGCAGUAGAUUCACGUCAUGAACAUGACCCCCAGACACAUGCAGACACACGCUGGACCACUGCCCACUUCAGCCCAGGUCCAGAGGUUGAAGUUAAGCUGCUAGCUAAGGCAAGGACACAGUUCCACAGGCAGGCUCACUCACAGUCCUCUUCUGCCUCAGCUCCUAGACACAUGGGCCUCUCCAUAGGCCUCCUGCUUCCCUCAACUCAUGACUCUGCCUUCUGGGCUUCUCCUAGAGUGAAAGAAAGGGGGGUGGGGGGGAUAGGUCAGAAGAGAAGGAUGACAGCAACUUCAGUCUUUUUAUGACUUAUUCUCUGGUGACAUUGACAUACUUUUGAUUGUCCAUGAAUUUGUGGACAUAUCCUUAACACCAUGGUAUAUACCUUAUAAAGAAUUUAUGCACAGAGUAAGUAGAGAAUACUUCCAAGUCUGAGAAAACUAACUAUUCUGUUCCAAGCAAAUACAAGAACUCAAUACACACUUUUAAAAGAUGCACUAGUGUUAAGUUUGUGAAAAUAUGUUCAGUACCAUUGGCAAUCACAGAAAUGUAAAGAGAAACCAACACAUGCUUAUAAGGAUGGGUAAAAAUUUUUUGUUUUGUUUUUUGUUUUUUGAG